rnacentral:rRNA from 1 species
UACGGAGGGUGCAAGCGUUAUCCGGAUUUAUUGGGUUUAAAGGGUCCGCAGGCGGAACUUUAAGUCAGUGGUGAAAGCCUACAGCUUAACUGUAGAACUGCCAUUGAAACUGAAGUUCUUGAGUGUGGUUGAAGUGGGCGGAAUAUGUCAUGUAGCGGUGAAAUGCAUAGAUAUGACAUGGAACACCUAUUGCGAAAGCAGCUCACUAAACCAUUACUGACGCUCAUGGACGAAAGUGUGGGUAGCGAAC